GACGAACGCUGGCGGCGUGCUUAACACAUGCAAGUCGAACGGAAAGGCCCUGCUUUUGUGGGGUGCUCGAGUGGCGAACGGGUGAGUAACACGUGAGUAACCUGCCCUUGACUUUGGGAUAACUUCAGGAAACGGGGGCUAAUACCGGAUAGGAGCUCCUGCGGCUGGGUGGGGGUUGGAAAGUUUCGGCGGUUGGGGAUGGACUCGCGGCUUAUCAGCUUGUUGGUGGGGUAGUGGCUUACCAAGGCUUUGACGGGUAGCCGGCCUGAGAGGGUGACCGGCCACAUUGGGACUGAGAUACGGCCCAGACUCCUACGGGAGGCAGCAGUGGGGAAUAUUGCACAAUGGGCGGAAGCCUGAUGCAGCAACGCCGCGUGCGGGAUGACGGCCUUCGGGUUGUAAACCGCUUUCGCCUGUGACGAAGCGUGAGUGACGGUAAUGGGUAAAGAAGCACCGGCUAACUACGUG
rnacentral:rRNA from 1 species